AAGAGUUGACCAUAUCCCCGUCAACUCUAUUAUUGCUGUAACCUGACAUUAAAAUUUAGAAAAGUUAUCAGCAAUUCAGAUAAUUUAGGUGUGGACUAAAUUAAAACUCACAUGAAAUUUAUUUUUUUCCUUCUUAUCUUUACUUUUAUCAGUUUUUUUUUUGAACAAACUUUUAUCAGUUUUUCUUAUUUCUCCUUUUUUUUGAUAAUUCCUAGAGUAACUAAGAUUCGCUUACAAGGUGUCCAUGUGUGAAUGCAGAUAAAUAAGUAAUUAUUACAUUUAAAAAAUCUAACAGACAUAUAAUUGAC
rnacentral:lncRNA from 1 species